CUUACAAUUUAACGAGUGGUUACAACCUUAUGGAUUUAACUGUAUUGUGAGACGCCUAUGGUCAAUUUCAACAUUACCCAGUCAAAUCUUAAAUGCCGGUUGCCUAUACUACGCAUUCAUUUGUCAAUUGUCAUUUCAUAUUCAUUUCCGAUUCCUCGAUGACAAGUAACAAUGUCUAAAUUUCCCACGAUUUCUGCCACCGCCGUCAAUUGUUAGUUCUGUUCAGAAAUUGCAGUCCUUGCAGUAAUUUAUUCUGCAAGAACUGCAAUUUCCAAAUAGAGCUCAACGAACACUUCAAAUCGCACCUCCGAAUCAGCGUGAGCGUGAAGGAGGGAAUUAAGAAGAGUUCCAACAACGUUUUUGUUGUCUAUUUUUAUUUGCAAGAGAAUACUGUGUCUAUGUUCAAUUUAAUUUUAGUUUGCCAAGUGUAUUUAAAACAGUUUUCGCAUUGAAAUAAAUUUCGUUUUACAAUUUAA